rnacentral:rRNA from 1 species
AGUGAACGCUGGCGGUAGGCCUAACACAUGCAAGUCGAACGGCAGCACAGUAAGAGCUUGCUCUUACGGGUGGCGAGUGGCGGACGGGUGAGGAAUACAUCGGAAUCUACUUUUUCGUGGGGGAUAACGUAGGGAAACUUACGCUAAUACCGCAUACGACCUACGGGUGAAAGCAGGGGAUCUUCGGACCUUGCGCGAUUGAAUGAGCCGAUGUCGGAUUAGCUAGUUGGCGGGGUAAAGGCCCACCAAGGCGACGAUCCGUAGCUGGUCUGAGAGGAUGAUUCGGCCACAUUGAAACGGAGACAGGGUCCAGAUCCCUAGGGGGGGCAGCAGGGGGAAAUAUUGAACAAUGGGCGCAAGCCGGACCAAGCCUAACGGCGGGGUUGAAGAAGGCCUCCGGUUGGUAAAGCCCUUUUUUUGGAAAAAAAAAGCGCCGGUUUAUUCCCCCGCUGUUCGGACGUUACCCAAAGAUUAGGCACCGGUAAACUCGUG